rnacentral:rRNA from 1 species
CCUCAAAUCAGGUAGGACUACCCGCUGAACUUAAGCAUAUCAAUAAGCGGAGGAAAAGAAACUAACAAGGAUUCCCCUAGUAACUGCGAGUGAAGCGGGAAAAGCUCAAAUUUAAAAUCUGGUGGUCUCCGGCCAUCCGAGUUGUAAUCUAGAGAAGUGUUACCCGCGUCGGACCGUGUACAAGUCUCCUGGAAUGGAGCGUCAUAGAGGGUGAGAAUCCCGUCUUUGACACGGACCCCCGAGGCUUUGUGGUGCGCUCUCAAAGAGUCGAGUUGUUUGGGAAUGCAGCUCAAAAUGGGUGGUAAACUCCAUCUAAAGCUAAAUAUUGGCGAGAGACCGAUAGCGAACAAGUACCGUGAGGGAAAGAUGAAAAGAACUUUGGAAAGAGAGUUAAACAGUACGUGAAAUUGCUGAAAGGGAAACGCUUGAAGUCAGUCGCGUCGGCCGGAAAUCAGCCUUGCUCUUGCUUGGUGUACUUUCUGGUUGACGGGCCAGCAUCAGUUUUGACCGGUGGAUAAAGUUGUGAGGAAUGUGGCAUCUUCGGGUGUGUUAUAGCCUCGCUUCGUAUACAUCGGUUGGGACUGAGGAACUCAGCACGCCGAAAGGCCGGGGUUCGCCCACGUUCGUGCUUAGGAUGUUGGCAUAAU